GGGGAAUAUUGCACAAUGGGGGAAACCCUGAUGCAGCGACGCCGCGUGAGUGAAGAAGUAUUUCGGUACGUAAAGCUCUAUCAGCAGGGACGAUAAUGACGGUACCUGACUAAGAAGCCCCGGCUAACUACGUGCCAGCAGCCGCGGUAAUACGUAGGGGGCAAGCGUUAUCCGGAUUUACUGGGUGUAAAGGGAGCGUAGACGGCUAUGUAAGUCAGAUGUGAAAACCCAGGGCUCAACCCUGGGACUGCAUUUGAAACUAUGUAGCUAGAGUGCAGGAGAGGUAAGUGGAAUUCCUAGUGUAGCGGUGAAAUGCGUAGAUAUUAGGAGGAACACCAGUGGCGAAGGCGGCUUACUGGACUGUAACUGACGUUGAGGCCCGAAAGCGUGGGGAGCAAAC
rnacentral:rRNA from 1 species